ACAUUGGUGAUUCAGUGGUAGAAUUCUUGCUUUCAAUGCAGGAGACCGGGAUCAGUCUUCCCAUGUG
rnacentral:tRNA from 1 species